rnacentral:lncRNA from 1 species
GGCGCCGGCGUGGCGGAGAGGCGGACGGCGGCGGAGAGGCGGCCAGCGGCGGCGCGGCGGAGAGGCGGAUAGCGGCGGAGAGGCGGACAGCGGCGGCGCGGCGGAGAGACGGACAGCGGCGGAGAGGCGGACAGCGGCGGAGAGGCGGACAGCGGCGGCGCGGCGGAGAGACGGACAGCGGCGGAGAGGCGGACAGCGGCGGCGCGGCGGAGAGACGGAUAGCGGCGGAGAGGCGGACAGCGGCGGCGCGGCGGAGAGGCGGACAGCGGCGGAGAGGUGGACAGCGGCGGAGAGGCGGACAGCGGCGGCGCGGCGGAGAGACGGACAGCGGCGGAGAGGCGGACAGCGGCGGCGCGGCGGAGAGGCGGACAGCGGCGGCGCGGCGGAGAGACGGACAGCGGCGGAGAGGCAGACAGCGGCGGCGAGGCGCGCAGCGGCGGCGCAGGCGCGGAGAGGCGCUGGCGCCGGCUCUGGCGCGGAGAGGUGCAGGCCCAGGCUCCACUCCCCAGCUGUGAAAGGGUUUUCUGCCUCCUGCUAAGCCAAUUUAUACAUUCCAAGAAAAUCUUCCAUUUCAUCCAGGUGAAACGGAACCUACUGGAAUGAAGCUGGCCUCCCAUGGAAUGAAGCUGGCCUCCCGUCUCCUUGAUUUGAAGCAGCUU